rnacentral:rRNA from 1 species
AGAGAGAGACAUGCGCGCAUAUCAAUAAGCGGAGGAAAAGAAACUAACAAGGAUUCCCUUAGUAACGGCGAGUGAAGCGGGAAGAGCUCAAAUUUGAAAUCUUCAAGGUUCUACCUUGACGAAUUGUAGUUUAUAGAAGUGUUUUCUGUUAGUGGAGUGGCAAAAGUUCUUUGGAAUAGGACAUCAUAGAGGGUGAGAAUCCCGUAUUUGGUCAUUCCUCCUAGCGUUGUGAUACACUUUCAACGAGUCGGAUUGUUUGGGAAUGCAGUCCAAAAUGGGUGGUAAAUUUCAUCUAAAGCUAAAUAUUGGCGAGAGACUGAUAGCGAACAAGUACCGUGAGGGAAAGAUGAAAAGAACUUUGAAAAGAGAGUUAAACAGUACGUGAAAUUGUCAAAAGGGAAGCGUUUGACACCAGUGUUGUUUUUCCGAAAAUCAAUUACGAAUGUUUUAUUUUUGAGGAGUUAUGACUUCAUCGGCUUGCUCCUUUCUUUAUGAAACUUUCUUAAUGCACUUUUCGGUUAACAAGUCAACAUCAAUUUCUUUUGUUGUAAAAGGGUAUGAGGAAGGUGGCUUUCUUUUCGGAGAAAGUGUUUAUAGCCUUGUGCCUCUGCAAUCGGAGAGAUUGAGGUCUGCAGCGUAGAUCCUUCGGGGUUAGAUACGUUUGUGCUAAGUUAUAGCUUUUCAUAGACAACUUGUUGACUAUGUUUAGUCUUGUAGCUUACUCGCUGACGCUAUUUUACCUACGCUUAGGAUGUUGAUAGUCACAGCGUGUAC